ACGGUUUUUAGACAAUGAGCUCCAGCUGCUUGAGUGUUUAAUGUCGCAUCAGAACGUGAAUCAGGUGCAGACGUGAGUCCACGGUGAUGAGGUGGAGGUAGUUGAUGAGAUAAAACACCAAGUGGAGGGAUGAAGGUUGGUUUCUGUCUGUUGUGGUGAUUUUUACUGUCCUGGCUCCACCCAGUCAGUCGAGGAUAAUGGAUGAUGGAAGUUUCACUGUCACAAAUCUCCCUCCAUCAACAACACGUUCAGUUUAGUGGAAAUGAACCUCACGUGAUUGUGCUGCAACCAAGACAUGUUGCAUGAUCAGUCAGGCUGUCCAGCACAGGAUGCACUUCAAUUCCAUUUUUCACACUUGAUUUAUCGUUAUUUAUUAUUUCUCUUGGGUCUACACCCAAGAGAUGACAUCAGUCAUCAGUAUGACAUCAGUCCACUUUACAGCUGUGCUGUAAAAAAGUUGUAUGAAUGUGUUCAGUCGGGCUGCCGUGAAGAAAAGAUGAAAAGAGGAAUACAGCCCCGGACAGAUGUGUAAGGAACGCGCUCCAUCCCUUCCAGACAUUUUUCUGACGUAUUCACAUGGACUCACCCCGACAUUCCCUGCAAUUUUCAUAAGGAGACUGGUGAUCUCUGCAGGUCUCCAGGGAGGUAAAGAAACUAGUCUCUACGAUCCCUCUUUCCCCUCCGAGCCCUCCGGUGGUGCUGGAGGAU